rnacentral:pre_miRNA from 1 species
UCAGCAGGCAGGCUGGUGCAGCCCGUGGUGGGGGACCAUCCUGCCUGCUGUGGG